GGUAACUGAGGUUGGAGCAGACCGUACAAUUCUCUCGCCUUUUACUAGAGAAUUCCGUGUUUCGACCUCACAUAUGUUACCUUGACCAAUUUUUCUGUUCUCAGCACCCCUGAGCGC
rnacentral:snRNA from 1 species